CUACCUACACAAAAAACACCCGAAAAACCUGAAUCUCUCAAGGAUAAAUCACCAGCUACACAAAAAACACCUGAAAUUAUUGAAAGUUUGAAGG